GAUGCACUCGAAUUGAUUGAGUUGUGUGAUUUGUGAAGAAAUAAGAAUGGCAAGAGAGAAAAUCUAGAUAAGAAAGAUCGAUAACAGGACGGUGAGGCAGAUU